rnacentral:rRNA from 1 species
CCUACGGGGGGUUGCAGUGGGGAAUAUUGGGCAAUGGAGGAAACUCUGACCCAGCAAUGCCGCGUGAAUGAAGAAGGUCUUCGGAUUGUAAAGUUCUUUAGUCAGGGAAGAAUAAAAUGACGGUACCUGAAGAAUAAGCUCCGGCUAACUACGUGCCAGCAGCCGCGGUACUACUUAGGGAGCACGCGUUGUUCGGAAUGACUGGGCGUAAAGGGUGCGUAGGCGGUUAUACAAGUUAGAAGUGAAAUACCCAGGGCUUAACUCGGGUGCUGCUUCUAAAACUGUAAGACUUGAGUGCAGUAAGGGUUGGUGGAAUUCCUGGUGUAGCGGUGGAAUGCGUAGAUAUUAGGAGGAACCCC